UACAGAGGGUGCAAGCGUUGUUCGGAAUUAUUGGGCGUAAAGGGUGCGUAGGCGGUUUGGUAAGUCUGAUGUGAAAUCUAUGGGCUCAACUCAUAGUCUGCAUCGGAAACUGCCGGGCUUGAGUGUGGGAGAGGUGAGUGGAAUUCCUGGUGUAGCGGUGAAAUGCGUAGAUAUCAGGAGGAACACCUGUGGCGAAAGCGGCUCACUGGACCAUAACUGACGCUGAUGCACGAAAAGCUAGGGGAGCAAACAGG
rnacentral:rRNA from 1 species